UACGUAGGGGGCAAGCGUUGUCCGGAAUUAUUGGGCGUAAAGAGCGUGUAGGCGGUCCGGUAAGUCAGCUGUGAAAGUCAAGGGCUCAACCCUUGAAAGCCGGUUGAUACUGUCGGGCUAGAGUCCGGAAGAGGCGAGUGGAAUUCCCGGUGUAGCGGUGAAAUGCGCAGAUAUCGGGAGGAACACCAAUGGCGAAGGCAGCUCGCUGGGACGGUACUGACGCUGAGACGCGAAAAGCGUGGG
rnacentral:rRNA from 1 species